AUAAUUUUCUGAAUAUAGUCAUUUAGUCAUUUAGUCAUUUAUUCAUUCAUUCCAAUAUUUUAACAUAAUUUAUAACAAUAACAAUUACAGUAAAUGUUUA